rnacentral:rRNA from 1 species
AUUGAACGCUGGCGGCAUGCCUUACACAUGCAAGUCGAACGGCAGCACGGGGGCAACCCUGGUGGCGAGUGGCGAACGGGUGAGUAAUACAUCGGAACGUGCCCAGUAGUGGGGGAUAGCCCGGCGAAAGCCGGAUUAAUACCGCAUACGACCUACGGGUGAAAGCGGGGGAUCGCAAGACCUCGCGCCAUCGGAGCGGCCGAUGGCAGGUUAGGUUGUUGGUGAGGUAAAAGCUCACCAAGCCGACGACCUGUAGCUGGUCUGAGAGGACGACAAGCCCCACUGGGACUGAGAUACGGCCCAGAAGCCAACGGGGGGGAGGGGUGGGGAAUGUUGGACAAGGGGGGCAACCCUGAUCCAGCCAUGCCGCGUGCGGGAAGAAGGCAUUCGGGUUGUAAACCGCUUUUGUCAGGGAAGAAAUCUUCUUGGCUAAUACCCUGGGAGGAUGACGGUACCUGAAGAAUAAGCACCGGCUAACUACGUGCCAGCAGCCGCCGUAAUAC